rnacentral:tRNA from 1 species
GGAGGUUUAGCUCAGCGGCAUAAGCGCCUGCCUUGCAAGCAGGCAGUUGUGAGUUCGAUCCCCGGUACUGCUA